AUUGAACGCUGGCGGCAGGCCUAACACAUGCAAGUCGAACGGUAACAGGAAGAAGCUUGCUUCUUUGCUCACGAGUGGCGGACGGGUGAGUAAUGUCUGGGAAACUGCCUGAUGGAGGGGGAUAACUACUGGAAACGGUAGCUAAUACCGCAUAACGUCGCAAGACCAAAGAGGGGGACCUUCGGGCCUCUUGCCAUCGGAUGUGCCCAGAUGGGAUUAGCUAGUAGGUGGGGUAACGGCUCACCUAGGCGACGAUCCCUAGCUGGUCUGAGAGGAUGACCAGCCACACUGGAACUGAGACACGGUCCAGACUCCUACGGGAGGCAGCAGUGGGGAAUAUUGCACAAUGGGCGCAAGCCUGAUGCAGCCAUGCCGCGUGUAUGAAGAAGGCCUUCGGGUUGUAAAGUACUUUCAGCGGGGAGGAAGGGAGUAAAGUUAAUACCUUUGCUCAUUGACGUUACCCGCAGAAGAAGCACCGGCUAACUCCGUG
rnacentral:rRNA from 1 species